AGGGCUCUACCACUGAGCUAAAUCCCCAACCCCGGCAGGGAAUCUCUUAAGCAGCUUUGAUUCUAUAGGCCUGCACCACCUGACUUAGGGUGGCUUUUUGUGGGGUCGUUUUCAUGGUCCUGUCCUGAGCCUCUUCACCGGCCAAUCCAGAAGGAAUCGAUGACACAGAGGAGAUCGGUCUGACCUGUAACUUCUCUUCAGGAGUGCAGAAAAAGUCAAUUUUCACCAAGUCAAAGCUUCUCCUCAGUGGACACCAUCUACUCCAAAGAUCCAGGAGCUGGCCGUGAAGUUACAUUUCAGUCCUUUUGCCCAUCCUUUUGGUUAGAGCGAGCGGGAUGCUCUUGCUGGCCACGAGGGGCCAGCAUCGGAUACAGGGAUUGUCCAGAGUGCUUAUCAAUUGUGGAAUGGGCCUGCCUGUGGAUCCCCAUGGAGGGCCUAAUGGAAACUAGCCCAUGCAGGGACCUUGGCAUCAUCCUACGACCUUGCCAGCCCCAGAUGGGUAUCUGCCUUCCAGACUCAGGCCUCAGACUGGUCCAUAGGCCUGGGCUAGAGUGUCAGUGGCAGCCAGGGGUCUUCUCCAUCUCCAGAGGCCUUUAUAGGGCCGGCCAGAAUAUACAGUCCCUUCUGGCAAUAACCACUGGCACCCAGGAUCACGAACGUGAACUUUCAUCCUGUGUCAGGUUGUCAAAGCUUGGUCGUGAUUGUUGCUUGGUCACUUUUUGUGCUUUGCAGAUUGGGAGGAGUGACCUCUGGAGCCUGUACCCACCCCACCUUAUCCCAGUGGGCUUAGGUUAGCUUUGUGCCUUAGUAUCUCUGACCCACUGCAGGAGCCACCCAUCAUCCCUCAGCUGUCCAUGGGGAUUGGGGCCCUGUGGCUGGCUGGCUUAUGCAUGCAUCUGGUCAGAGUCCCAUUGAGGACACACCAUCUUUGAGACUUUCAGGAGCCUGGGGCAAGGGUUCUCAGGCCCUGUUUUGUCUUCCUUUGUGGGUGUCCGAGAAGCCAAGAGCCAUGAUGUAGCUCAGCAGGCUGGGCCCAGUGUCCAGCUGCUGCAUCCAGGGGUGAGUGUCCUCCACCUUAGGAGGCUGGGGAUUCACCCUUUCCUUUUGCUUGUACUGCCUUGAUUAUGAUUUUCCCAGGGCGGUGGUGGAGGUUGGGAAGACAGCUGAGGGAUCCUGAGGGCUGAAGGAAAGCUGCCCAGCCAAACCCUUAACUGUGGUCUGGAUCCCAAGCCUCAACCAACCUAAGAAACCUCAGUGGCCACAGUGCUACUUUACUAGCCCAGUUCUCACACUACCGCCUGAGAUCUGACCCCAGUGAUGUUGCCCCUCUUUCUACAUGGGCAGAGGCUGGUCUUGCCUACCUCCUGGUAGACAGGGGCACCUUGUGAUAUUGGGAAGAGUAAGGUAUUGCCCCUGUGUCUCUGAGCCUGGGCUCUGACCACUGGACUUAACCCUGGCAAUUUUUCCUCCUACUCUCAACCCCAGCGACCAUGAUGACCUGAGCCCUGGCUGGCAGCACCCGUGCCCUACCUCUCUGUCUUUGCUCUGCCCGUUCCCUAUGAGGCACUGGUCAGUUGCCAGCAUCUAAAUGUCCAUCACUCUCAGACCAAAAA
rnacentral:sRNA from 1 species